AGCGGCCGUUUCACGCUCCCUCUCUUACAAAUGCCUCUUUCAAAACGAUCAUCUUCUCCCUAACCGAAAGCUACCCAGCUGCGGUGCGUUCCGCAGCUAACUACAUAUAAUACACUAAGACGUAUUUCCUUACUAUUAUCAUUUCAGAGAGAGAAAAAGUUUUUACCUGAGGAGAGACAGAGACAGAGAGAGAUGAGGUUCGUAACUCGAAAGCAACCUUCUGUGUGAUGAGAGAGAAAGCCUGCCUCGUAUCCCUAUAAAGGUUCAAUACGAAUUUCGCACCGAUUGCACCCAAUGCCAGGAGAAAUAGUUUCGAUUGAAGAAAAUGAGAGGGGUAAAUUGUUCGAUAUCAAUACAUCAGAGGACGAAAAGCGAAGAACUCGAGCCAGAUCUUUAAGGAGAAGAGCAGCGAAUGCUUCAACAAAACUAACGCAUAGUCUUAAAAAACGCACAAACCGAGUCGCUGAUUGCCGAUAUGCAGGGAUUUCUAUUGAAGACGUCAGGGACACAGAGGAGGAGAAAGCUGUAAAUGCCUUUCGACAAGCAUUGAUUGCCAAA